GUGGAUUAGAUACCCUAGUAGUCCACACUGUAAACGAUGUGCACUAGGUGCUGGGGCGGAUGCUUCAGUGCCGUAGCUAACGUGAUAAGUGCACCGCCUGGGGAGUAUGCUCGCAAGGGUGAAACUCAAAGGAAUUGACGGGGGCCCGCACAAGCGGUGGAGCAUGUGGUUUAAUUCGAUGGUACGCGAGGAACCUUACCUGGGUUUGACAUACAGCGUGAUAGGUCAGAGAUGAUCUAGCGUAGCAAUACGACGCUGUACAGGUGCUGCACGGUCGUCGUCAGCU
rnacentral:rRNA from 1 species